rnacentral:rRNA from 1 species
AUAUCAGUCAUGCAUAGCAUAUCAAUAAGCGGAGGAAAAGAAACUAACAAGGAUUCCCUUAGUAACGGCGAGUGAAGCGGGAAGAGCUCAAAUUUGAAAUCUUCAAGGUUCUACCUUGACGAAUUGUAGUUUAUAGAAGUGUUUUCUGUUAGUAGAGUGGCAAAAGUUCUUUGGAAUAGGACAUCAUAGAGGGUGAGAAUCCCGUAUUUGGUCAUUCUUUCUAGCUUUGUGAUACACUUUCAACGAGUCGGAUUGUUUGGGAAUGCAGUCCAAAAUGGGUGGUAAAUUUCAUCUAAAGCUAAAUAUUGGCGAGAGACCGAUAGCGAACAAGUACCGUGAGGGAAAGAUGAAAAGAACUUUGAAAAGAGAGUUAAACAGUACAUGAAAUUGUCAAAAGGGAAGCGUUUGACACCAGUGUUGUUUUUCCGAAAAUCAAUUACGUAUGUUUUAGUUUUUGAGGAGUUAUGACUUCAUCGGCUUGCUCCUUUCUUUAUGAAACUUUCUUAAUGCACUUUUCGGUUAACAAGUCAACAUCAAUUUCUUUUGUUGUAAAAGGGUAUGAGGAAGGUGGCUUUCUUUUCGGAGAAAGUGUUUAUAGCCUUGUGCCUCUGCAAUCGGAGAGAUUGAGGUCUGCAGCGUAGAUCCUUCGGGGUUAGAUACGUUUGUGCUAAGUUAUAGCUUUUCAUAGACAACUUGUUGACUAUGUUUAGUCUUGUAGCUUACUCGCUGUACGCUAUUUUACCUACGCUUAGGAUGUUGAUGUGAUACUGCGAGCA